AACAGGAUUAGAUACCCUGGUAGUCCACGCCGUAAACGUUGGGCGCUAGAUGUAGGGACCUUUCCACGGUUUCUGUGUCGUAGCUAACGCAUUAAGCGCCCCGCCUGGGGAGUACGGCCGCAAGGCUAAAACUCAAAGGAAUUGACGGGGGCCCGCACAAGCGGCGGAGCAUGCGGAUUAAUUCGAUGCAACGCGAAGAACCUUACCAAGGCUUGACAUACACCGGAAACGGCCAGAGAUGGUCGCCCCCUUGUGGUCGGUGUACAGGUGGUGCAUGGUUGUCGUCAGCUCGUGUCGUGAGAUGUUGGGUUAAGUCCCGCAACGAGCGCAACCCUCGUUCUAUGCUGCCAGCGCGUUAUGGCGGGGACUCAUAGGAGACUGCCGGGGUCAACUCGGAGGAAGGUGGGGAUGACGUCAAAUCAUCAUGCCCCUUAUGUCUUGGGCUUCACGCAUGCUACAAUGGCCGGUACAAAGGGCUGCGAUACCGUAAGGUGGAGCGAAUCCCAAAAAGCCGGUCUCAGUUCGGAUUGAGGUCUGCAACUCGACCUCAUGAAGUCGGAGUCGCUAGUAAUCGCAGAUCAGCAACGCUGCGGUGAAUACGUUCCCGGGCCUUGUACACACCGCCCGUCAAGUCAUGAAAGUCGGUAACACCCGAAGCCGGUGGCCUAACCCUUGUGGAAGGAGCCGUCGAAGGUGGGAUCGGUGAUUAGGACUAAGUCGUAACAAGGUAACC
rnacentral:rRNA from 1 species